UACGUAGGUGGCAAGCGUUGUCCGGAGUUAUUGGGCGUAAAGCGCGCGCAGGCGGUGCGGUAAGUCUCUGGUGAAAGCGCUCGGCUUAACUGGGCGAGGGCCGGGGAGACUGCCACGCUGGAGGGGAGCAGAGGCGAGUGGAAUUCCGGGUGUAGUGGUGAAAUGCGUAGAGAUCCGGAGGAACACCAGUGGCGAAGGCGGCUCGCUGGGCUCUACCUGACGCUGAGGCACGAAAGCUAGGGGAGCAAACAGG
rnacentral:rRNA from 1 species